GAUGAACGCUGGCGGCGUGCCUAAUACAUGCAAGUCGAGCGAACGGACGAGAAGCUUGCUUCUCUGACGUUAGCGGCGGACGGGUGAGUAACACGUGGAUAACCUACCUAUAAGACUGGGAUAACUUCGGGAAACCGGAGCUAAUACCGGAUAAUAUUUUGAACCGCAUGGUUCAACAGUGAAAGACGGUCUUGCUGUCACUUAUAGAUGGAUCCGCGCUGCAUUAGCUAGUUGGUAAGGUAACGGCUUACCAAGGCAACGAUGCAUAGCCGACCUGAGAGGGUGAUCGGCCACACUGGAACUGAGACACGGUCCAGACUCCUACGGGAGGCAGCAGUAGGGAAUCUUCCGCAAUGGGCGAAAGCCUGACGGAGCAACGCCGCGUGAGUGAUGAAGGUCUUCGGAUCGUAAAACUCUGUUAUUAGGGAAGAACAAAUGUGUAAGUAACUGUGCACAUCUUGACGGUACCUAAUCAGAAAGCCACGGCUAACUACGUG
rnacentral:rRNA from 1 species